UACAGAGGUCUCAAGCGUUGUUCGGAUUCAUUGGGCGUAAAGGGUGCGUAGGCGGCGCGGUAAGUCGGAUGUGAAAUCUCGGAGCUUAACUUCGAAACUGCAUUCGAUACUGCCGUGCUUGAGGACUGGAGAGGAGACUGGAAUUUAAGGUGUAGCGGUGAAAUGCGUAGAUAUCGUAAGGAAGACCAGUGGCGAAGGCGGGUCUCUGGACAGUUCCUGACGCUGAGGCACGAAGGUCAGGGGAGCAAACGGG
rnacentral:rRNA from 1 species